GCCCUACCCAGUAUAGGGGUUAUAACACUCGGCUUGUAAUCGAGUAGGCUCGGGUUCAAAUCACGAAUAAGGCA